rnacentral:misc_RNA from 1 species
GAUGAAGAACGUAGCGAAAUGCGAUACGUAGUGUGAAUUGCAGAAUUCAGUGAAUCAUCGAAUCUUUGAACGCACAUUGCGCCCCCUGGUAUUCCGGGGGGCAUGCCUGUUCGAGCGUCAUUUCACCACUCAAGCCUCGCUUGGUAUUGGGCGACGCGGUCCGCCGCGCGCCUCAAAUCGACCGGCUGGGUCUUUCGUCCCCUCAGCGUUGUGGAAACUAUUCGCUAAAGGGUGCCGCGGGAGGCCACGCCGUAAAACAACCCCAUUUCUAAGGUUGACCUCGGAUCAGGUAGGGAUACCCGCUGAACUUAAGCAUAUCAAUAAGCGGAGGA